GACGAACGCUGGCGGCGUGCCUAACACAUGCAAGUCGUGCGGUCUCGCCUUAAGCGAAAGGCCUUCGGGCUUUGAAGCAAAGGCGAGAUAGCGGCGGACGGGUGAGUAACGCGUGGCUUAUCUGUCCCAGGGAGGGGGAUAACGUCUGGAAACGGGCGCUAAUACCCCAUAUGCCGAAAGGUAAAAAGGAGAGAUCCGCCCUGGGGGUGAGGCCGCGUCUUAGUCAGCUCGUUGGUGAGGUAACGGCCCACCAAGGCUAUGACGGGUAGCCGGCCUGAGAGGGCGGCUGGCCACACUGGGAUUGAGAUACGGCCCAGACUCCUACGGGAGGCAGCAGUGGGGAAUAUUGGGCAAUGGGGGAAACCCUGACCCAGCGACGCCGCGUGGAGGAAGGAGCCCUUCGGGGUGUAAACUCCUGUUGUAAGGGAAGAAGACAGUGACGGUACCUUACGAGGAAAGCCCCGGCAAACUACGUGCCAGCAGCCGCGGUAAGUAGUGUGUGUA
rnacentral:rRNA from 1 species